rnacentral:rRNA from 1 species
UAGGGAAUAUUGGACAAUGGGCGCAAGCCUGAUCCAGCCAUGCCGCGUGAGUGAUGAAGGCCUUAGGGUUGUAAAGCUCUUUCGGCGGGGACGAUAAUGACGGUACCCGCAGAAGAAGCCCCGGCUAACUUCGUGCCAGCAGCCGCGGUAAUACGAAGGGGGCUAGCGUUGUUCGGAAUCACUGGGCGUAAAGCGCAUGCAGGCGGAUCGUUAAGUCGGGGGUGAAAGCCCGAGGCUCAACCUCGGAACUGCCUUCGAUACUGGCGAUCUUGAGUCCGGGAGAGGUGAGUGGAACUGCGAGUGUAGAGGUGAAAUUCGUAGAUAUUCGCAAGAACACCAGUGGCGAAGGCGGCUCACUGGCCCGGUACUGACGCUGAGAUGCGAAAGCGUGGGGAGCAAACA